GUAGGUGAACCUGCGGAAGGAUCAUUACAGAGUAUCUUGCCCUCACGGGUAGAUCUCCACCCUUGAAUAACAUACCUUUGUUGCUUUGGCAGGACGCACUCGUGCCAGGGGCUUCGGCUCCUGAGUGCCUGCCAGAGGACCGCAACUCUUGUUUUUAGUGAUGUCUGAGUACUAUAUAAUAGUUAAAACUUUCAACAACGGGUCUCUUGAUUCUG
rnacentral:misc_RNA from 1 species